rnacentral:rRNA from 1 species
CCUACGGGUGGCAGCAGUGAGGAAUAUUGGUCAAUGGACGAAAGUCUGAACCAGCCAAGUAGCGUGAAGGAUGACUGCCCUAUGGGUUGUAAACUUCUUUUAUACGGGAAUAAAACGUUUCACGUGUGGUAUUUUGUAUGUACCAUAUGAAUAAGGAUCGGCUAACUCCGUGCCAGCAGCCGCGGUAAUACGGAAGAUCCGAGCGUUAUCCGGAUUUAUUGGGUUUAAAGGGAGCGUAGGCGGUUUGUUAAGUCAGUUGUGAAAGUUUGCGGCUCAACCGUAAAAUUGCAGUUGAAACUGGCAGGCUUGAGUACAGUGGAGGUGGGCGGAAUUCGUGGUGUAGCGGUGAAAUGCUUAGAUAUCACGAAGAACUCCGAUUGCGAAGGCAGUUUACUGGACCGCAACUGACACUGAGGCUCGAAAGUGUGGGUAUCAAACAGGAUUAGAUACCCUAGUAGUC